AAACAAUGAUGGGACCUCACACUCAACCCAUCCGCCCGGAUACUACGAGCGCAAGCUUAAAACCCAAAGGACUUGGCGGUGCUUUAGACCCAACUAGAGGAGCCUGCUCCCCAACCGACACUCCCCGUUAAACCUCACCCUUUCUUGUAACUUACAGCCUGUAUACCGCCGUCGCCAGUCUACCCUCUGAGGGACCCGCAGUUGGCUUGAACGAUAACCCUACUCCAGAAUGUCAGGUCGAGGUGCAGCCUAUGAAAGGGGCCCACAGUGGGCUACAUUCGCUUACUUCAAGCGCAUACGGAAACUUAAUACUGAAAUACAUAAGUUGAAGGUGGAUCUAGCAGUAAGAGGGGAAUAGCGUGCCCC
rnacentral:rRNA from 1 species